rnacentral:lncRNA from 1 species
CCAGUGGUUGAUUUAGGGAUGGGUUGAUAUCUAGGUGAUUUUGCCUAGAGACAGAGAGUAGAGAGGGAUGGAGAUAUUCUUUUUAGUUUUUUCUUUUUUUAGAUGGUUUUGCUCAAAAAGACGGUUUUGCCUCUCGAUUUCGCAGAAUAAUUGACAGACUUUCACAGUAUGACGGUUUAGAUACUAAAUAGAGAGUUGUAGGACUAUUAAAAUGAAAAUUUUAGUUCAAGGACCAAAAUAAAACUCGAGCAAUAGUUAGGGGACCAUUUCGGUCAAUAACCCUAAGAACAAUUAAUUAAUCAAGCUAAAGUACUCUUAUAAAAUGUAGACACAUAAAUAUAUAUAUAUUUUUAAAGUCCAG